AGGAUUAUAGUUAAAUAAUAACAUCUAAUUUGCAAUUAGAAAUUAUUCUUAAAAAGAAUUUAUCUUA
rnacentral:tRNA from 1 species